UUUAGACAGGAUUGACAGAUUGAUAGCUCUUUCUCGAUUCCAUGGGUGGUGGUACAUGGCUGUUCUUAGUUGAUGGAGCGAUUCUUCAGGUUAAUUAUGAUGAUGAACGAGAUGCUGGCAUGCUAACUAGUUACACGACCCCUGAGCUAAAGACAGAGUGGCUCUAAUCACUGUGAGAAGCCCAAAUAAAAAUCAGUCUCCCAAAUAAGAAAAAUAAAUAGAUACAUAAAUAAGAAUGUCUUUAG
rnacentral:ncRNA from 1 species